GAAGGCCCAAUGCCUCUUAGUGAGAUUCUAAAGAGAAAAAGAGAGGCUGAAGCCGCAGCUACUGGGAGUGGAGUAUCUUUUGUCAGUAAGAAUGAAAAUAAUCAGAAAGAAAGUAAGGAAAGCUUGCUCGGAAACUCCUACAGUGCAGGAGUUGCAGAGACACGAGGUGAUCUUUCAUCCACAAAGGAUGAAGCCAGCAAGCAAGUGCUUAAAGAUGAAAAAUCCAAUUCUGCAGCUGCUGGUGUUGUUGGGACUGUUG
rnacentral:misc_RNA from 1 species